rnacentral:rRNA from 1 species
CCUACGGGAGGCAGCAGUGGGGAAUAUUGGGCAAUGGGCGCAAGCCUGACCCAGCAACGCCGCGUGAAGGAAGAAGGCUUUCGGGUUGUAAACUUCUUUUCUCAGGGACGAAGAGAGGGACGGUACCUUGGGAAUAAGCCAGGGCUAACUACUGGCCAGCAGCCGCGGUAAUACGAAGGUGGCAAGCGUUAUCCGGAUUUAUUGGGUGUAAAGGGCGUGUAGGCGGGAGCGCAAGUCAGAUGUGAAAACUCAGGGCUCAACCCUGAGCCUGCAUUUGAAACUGUGUUUCUUGAGUGCUGGAGAGGUAAUCGGAAUUCCGUGUGUAGCGGUGAAAUGCGUAGAUAUCAGGAAGAACACCAGUGGCGAAGGCGGAUUGCUGGACAGUAACUGACGCUGAGGCGCGAAAGCGUGGGGAGCAAACAGGAUUAGAUACCCGUGUAGUC